rnacentral:rRNA from 1 species
UACGUAGGGGGCUAGCGUUGUUCGGAAUUACCGGGCGUAAAGCGCGCGUAGGCGGCUUUGUAAGUUAGAGGUGAAAGCCCGAAGCUCAACUUCGGAAUUGCCUUUAAGACUGCAUCGCUAGAAUCUUGGAGAGGCGAGUGGAAUUCCGAGUGUAGAGGUGAAAUUCGUAGAUAUUCGGAAGAACACCAGUGGCGAAGGCGACUCGCUGGACAAGUAUUGACGCUGAGGUGCGAAAGCGUGGGGAGCAAACAGG